rnacentral:rRNA from 1 species
ACGCUCGACACCUACGGGAGGUAGCAGUGGGGAAUAUUGCACAAUGGGGGAAACCCCGAUGCAGCGGACCGCCCGGCCGGUGAGGUGGAAGGAAAGGUAAUUUUCGGUUUAGUGUUAAAGGAACUCCUUAUUACACGCAGGGAAAGGGAAAGAAUGACGGGUACCGUUCGAGUAAAGAAAGGACCCCGGCCCGUAACUAACGUGCCGCAGCCGCGGUAACUCGUAGUACGCGGGCGUGGGCCUAAGGGCAG